rnacentral:tRNA from 1 species
UAUAAUAUGGUGUACAUAAGCACCUUGAGCCUUGAAUUCAAAAGUGAGAGCCUCCCCUCUAUUAUAA